GACGAACGCUGGCGGCGUGCUUAACACAUGCAAGUCGAACGGAAAGGCCCUGCUUUUGUGGGGUGCUCGAGUGGCGAACGGGUGAGUAACACGUGAGUAACCUGCCCUUGACUUUGGGAUAACUUCAGGAAACUGGGGCUAAUACCGGAUAGGAGCUCCUGCUGCAUGGUGGGGGUUGGAAAGUUUCGGCGGUUGGGGAUGGACUCGCGGCUUAUCAGCUUGUUGGUGGGGUAGUGGCUUACCAAGGCGUUGACGGGUAGCCGGCCUGAGAGGGUGACCGGCCACAUUGGGACUGAGAUACGGCCCAGACUCCUACGGGAGGCAGCAGUGGGGAAUAUUGCACAAUGGGCGGAAGCCUGAUGCAGCAACGCCGCGUGCGGGAUGACGGCCUUCGGGUUGUAAACCGCUUUCGCCUGUGACGAAGCGUGAGUGACGGUAAUGGGUAAAGAAGCACCGGCUAACUACGU
rnacentral:rRNA from 1 species